rnacentral:rRNA from 1 species
UACGUAGGGGGCUAGCGUUGUCCGGAAUCAUUGGGCGUAAAGAGCGUGUAGGCGGCCCGGUAAGUCCGCUGUAAAAGUCAAAGGCUCAACCUUUGAAUGUCAGUGGAUACUGCCGGGCUAGAGUCCGGAAGAGGCGAGUGGAACUCCUGGUGUAGCGGUGAAAUGCGUAGAGAUCGGGAAGAACAUCGGUGGCGAAAGCGCUCUGCUGGACUGCAACUGACACUCAGGGACGAAAGCUAGGGGAGCGAAUGGG